rnacentral:rRNA from 1 species
UAGGGAAUCUUCCACAAUGGACGCAAGUCUGAUGGAGCAACGCCGCGUGAGUGAAGAAGGCUUUCGGGUCGUAAAACUCUGUUAUUGAAGAAGAACGUGUGUGACAGUAACUGGUCAUGCAGUGACGGUAUUCAAUCAGAAAGUCACGGCUAACUACGUGCCAGCAGCCGCGGUAAUACGUAGGUGGCAAGCGUUGUCCGGAUUUAUUGGGCGUAAAGCGAGUGCAGGCGGUCUUUUAAGUCUGAUGUGAAAGCCUUCGGCUUAACCGAAGAAGGGCAUCGGAAACUGGGAGACUUGAGUGCAGAAGAGGAGAGUGGAACUCCAUGUGUAGCGGUGAAAUGCGUAGAUAUAUGGAAGAACACCAGUGGCGAAGGCGGCUCUCUGGUCUGUAACUGACGCUGAGGCUCGAAAGCGUGGGUAGCAAACAGGAUUAGAUACCCUGGUAGUCCACGCCGUAACGAUGAAUACUAAGUGUUGGAGGGUUUCCGCCCUUCAGUGCUGCAGCUAACGCAUUAAGUAUUCCGCCUGGGGAGUACGACCGCAAGGUUGAA